rnacentral:rRNA from 1 species
GACGAACGCUGGCGGCGUGCUUAACACAUGCAAGUCGAACGGAAAGGCCCUGCUUUUGUGGGGUGCUCGAUUGGCGAACGGGUGAGUAACACGUGAGUAACCUGCCCUUGACUUUGGGAUAACUUCAGGAAACUGGGGCUAAUACCGGAUAGGAGCUCCUGCUGCAUGGUGGGGGUUGGAAAGUUUCGGCGGUUGGGGAUGGACUCGCGGCUUAUCAGCUUGUUGGUGGGGUAGUGGCUUACCAAGGCUUUGACGGGUAGCCGGCCUGAGAGGGUGACCGGCCACAUUGGGACUGAGAUACGGCCCAGACUCCUACGGGAGGCAGCAGUGGGGAAUAUUGCACAAUGGGCGGACGCCUGAUGCAGCAACGCCGCGUGCGGGAUGACGGCCUUCGGGUUGUAAACCGCUUUCGCCUGUGACGAAGCGUGAGUGACGGUAAUGGGUAAAGAAGCACCGGCUAACUACGUG